GACAUGACCAGGGCAGCACAAUCGAUUUAGCUGCUGCGUCUACCUGUUUGCCCUAACCUCAGAUAAACGCAUGAACGGUGCGCGUGUGAAACAGCUUAGGAUAUUACAAUUUCACGUUGAAAAAGGGAAAUGAGCGAUGCCGAACUACAGGAGGAGGAAAGAGAAGUACUACUUUCGAUAUACGAUGGAGAUUCGGCAUUUAAACAGUUGACACCUACCACUUUUCAGUAUAAGUUUGGAGAGGACAAUGAUGCCAAAUCAUUUCUGUUGGAGAUCUCAUGGGGCACAACCUAUCCGUCAGAGAAGCCUAUUAUUAAUAUGAAUACCUUUUAUAACAAACACAUUGUGCAAGAUGUAAAAGACAAAGUGGCGAAGCUUGUAGAAGAAGAGGCAGAGCAAUGGCUGGGAAGCGCUAUGACGUACACAUUGUUCCAGUCUGUCCAAGAACAUUAUGCUGAAUUGGUCUCUGAGCAACCAGAGGCUGUAGUUGAUAUUAAUAUACAAACUAGCCAGCUUAAAAUAACCGAUGAUAGUCAACAGGGUGAAGAAACAACAAAAAAACCAAAGAAGGAACACUUGACUAAAGCUCAGAAACGUAGACAGUGGAACAAAACAGAUGGAAAGGGAGAAAAACCACGCGGAUGGGACUGGGUGGACAUAGUGAAACAUUUAUCACAGACUGGCCCGAAACAAGAACAAGAGUCUUAGUUCAGCUGCUUUGAAAUAUUUGUACAGGUCUUACACACCUGAUGUUGUGUGAGUGCUGCUCUUGUGGCCCCACCAGCAACACCAACAACUGAUUUCAUUGCUGUUGAAAUGCACAAUAUUGCAAGCGAAUAAGAGGAGAAAUAAGUUCCAUCUUUGAGGACCCAUGUUAUUGCUGCUGCCAAAGGGGUUGCUGCAGCUUCGCCUACACCUACCCCCUGCAUAAUGGAAUGUGUUGUAA